rnacentral:tRNA from 2 species
GGUCCCAUCGUCUAGAGGCCUAGGACACCGCCCUUUCAAGGCGGCGGCACGGGUUCGAAUCCCGUUGGGACCG